rnacentral:rRNA from 1 species
CUUAAAUUGAAGAGUUUGAUCAUGGCUCAGAUUGAACGCUGGCGGCAGGCCUAACACAUGCAAGUCGAGCGGAAACGAGUUAUCUGAACCUUCGGGGAACGAUAACGGCGUCGAGCGGCGGACGGGGGGGUAUUCCGUGGGAGACGGCCGUGCUGUGGGGGGAAACCGUUGGAACGAUGGGGAGUGAGGGCGAGUGCCUGACGGGCCAAAGAGGGG